GGGAGUGUAGCUCAAAUGGUAGAGCGCUCCGCUUAGCAUGCGAGAGGUAUAGGGAUCGAUACCCUCUGCUUCUCCA
rnacentral:tRNA from 1 species